rnacentral:tRNA from 1 species
GGGAUCUUAGUUUAAAGGAAUAAUAUAUGAUUUGCAUUUAUAAGAUUUAGAUUCUA